AAUUGCUCUGGGUUCCCAAGGCUGCAGCCAAUCCAGGCCCUUUAUAAGGAGUGAAGUGUGUCUCCCUCAGUCAGUGGCUCAGUUCCUGGCUCACCAUGAGGCUCCACCUUCUACUUGUGUUCCUCUUCGUGUUCCUGUUGUCAGUCCCAGGUUUUGCUCAACAUAGUGAUCCUCGUUGCAACGAGAAAGGUGGAAUCUGCUUGCACAAGAAAUGCCCUAAAGGUAGUAGACCAAUAGGCUACUGUAACAUGCCAAGCCUCAAAUGCUGCAAAAAAUAGCAAUUGGAGAUGAAGAGGCUGCUGUCACUGAUGAUGCAUUUAAGUGUGUCCUUCACAAAAAUGUGACAUUUAAAUAAAAUUAAAUCACAUUAGACUCAGAA